rnacentral:rRNA from 1 species
CGUACGGGUGAGUAACACGUGGAUGAUCUACCCUGGGAGUGGGGAAUAACGCUGGGAAACCGGCGCUAAUACCGCAUAAUCCCGAGAGGGCAAAGGAGCUUUGUGCAAACAAGGUUUCGCUUCAGGAGGAGUCCGCGGCCGAUUAGCUAGUUGGCAGGGUAAAAGCCUACCAAGGCAACGAUCGGUAGCCGGCCUGAGAGGGCACACGGCCACACUGGCACUGAAACACGGGCCAG